UUUCCCCCCUCCCCCUUCUCUUCCUGCCUCAACCUCUCUGAUAGCGCCACUAGUGUCAGAGAAAUCGUCCACUACUAAUUAAGCUCAUUUUACCAGAGGCUUUAGUGGGCUACUGGUUUCCUUCACCAGGCCCAGGAGACCAGACGAGACCGUCAUAGCAUCCCCUGUCAUAUCAUCUAAUGGAACUUUACAAGGCUUAUUUCCAAAGCCAGAAAAUUCCCAGCCCACUUGGGUCAGCUCGUGACUCACAAACCUCCCGAGAGCCUGCAAGUCUGCACUAUGCUCCCCGGACAUCAAAGGGGCAACUGGUGGCUCCCUUCCACCUAUGCCCCUCUUGCCUGCUGGCGAUUUGAGGAAAAGCUUCCCUCCAGGCUUCUCUGAAAUCUAAGAAGCAAUACCCUGAACUCUGCUCUUGAGUCCAGCGUCUCCUCAGAGGCCACCACACCACCACCACCAGCACCACCCUCAAAUUCUGCCAUAUAUCUCUACCCAUGGGGUUAAAAAUUUAAUAAACUUCUUAAUCAAAAA